rnacentral:tRNA from 1 species
GCGGAAGUAGCUCAGUGGUAGAGCACCACCUUGCCAAGGUGGGGGUCGCGAGUUCGCGCCUCGUUUUCCGCUCCA